GAUGAAGAACGUAGCGAAAUGCGAUACUUGGUGUGAAUUGCAGAAUCCCGUGAACCAUCGAGUCUUUGAACGCAAGUUGAGCCUCAAGCCAUUAGGUUGAGGGCACGUCUGCCUGGGCGUCACAUAUCGUUGCCUGAUGCCAGUUUCCUCGUGAUGGGUGACUGUGCAGGGCGAAUGAUGGCUUCCCGUGAGCAUUGUUGCCUCAUGGUUGGUUGAAAAUUGAGUCCUUGGUAGGGAGCGCCGUGAUAGAUGGUGGUUGAGUGACGAACGAGACCCAAUCAUGUGAGACCCCUACCGAAUUUGGCCUUCAUGACCCACAUGCGUCUUUGGAACGCUCAUGACGAGACCUCAGGUCAGGCGGGGCUACCCGCUGAGUUUAAGCAUAUCAAUAAGCGGAGGA
rnacentral:misc_RNA from 1 species